UACGUAGGGUGCAAGCGUUGUCCGGAAUUAUUGGGCGUAAAGAGCUCGUAGGCGGUCUGUCGCGUCUGCUGUGAAAACUCGGGGCUUAACCCCGGGCCUGCAGUGGGUACGGGCAGACUAGAGUGCGGUAGGGGAGACUGGAAUUCCUGGUGUAGCGGUGAAAUGCGUAGAUAUCGAGAGGAACACCUGCGGCGAAGGCGGGUUGCUGGGCUGAUACUGACGCUGAGGCGCGAAAGCCAGGGGAGCGAACGGG
rnacentral:rRNA from 1 species